rnacentral:rRNA from 1 species
CUAAGGGAUGCUCCAGUGGGGAAUAUUGCACAAUGGGGGAAACCCUGAUGCAGCAACGCCGCGUGGAGGAUGACACAUUUCGGUGCGUAAACUCCUUUUAUAUAGGAAGAUAAUGACGGUACUAUAUGAAUAAGCGCCGGCUAACUCCGUGCCAGCAGCCGCGGUAAUACGGAGGGCGCAAGCGUUACUCGGAAUCACUGGGCGUAAAGGGCGUGUAGGCGGGUAGUUAAGUCAGAAGUGAAAUCCUAUGGCUCAACCAUAGAACUGCUUUUGAAACUGAUUACCUAGAAUAUGGGAGAGGUAGAUGGAAUUUCUGGUGUAGGGGUAAAAUCCGUAGAGAUCAGAAGGAAUACCGAUUGCGAAGGCGAUCUACUGGAACAUUAUUGACGCUGAGACGCGAAAGCGUGGGGAGCAAACAGGAUUAGAUACCCCAGUAGUC